GAUAGCAUUUAUCUACGCUAGGAUCCGACCUACAUGAACUUCUUUCUUCUCUUAUGAUAUUUCUAGAAAGCGAAAAAAAGAAAUAAUGGGAAAUAGAAUACAAGUGUUGAGUACCAGCUUCUACUCUUGUGAAAGGUGGGCCUGACCUCUUCCUUUCUAUUUAGAAAGUGAAAGUCCUUGCCGGUGUGACAGUAUGAGUAGAUGGUGCUCUUCUCUUUCCAAGUUCAUAAUCGGUGCUAUUGAAUCUGCAGUUAAGGAAAUAUCGCCAGUUCUUUGAAAAAGAGUUCCGCUCAGGAAUCCCUUUGAGGGAGGUUUAGCCUAGCCUU
rnacentral:lncRNA from 1 species